ACCUGCGGUGCAAAACAUCAUAAUCUAGAAGAAACAAACUAAUUUCUUCCAGAUAAUCUAUUAUGCUUUUUUUUUUUUUUUU
rnacentral:misc_RNA from 1 species